AAAGGGUCCGUAGGCGGCCUUAUAAGUCAGUGGUGAAAUCUCCCGGCUCAACCGGGAAAUUGCCAUUGAUACUGUAGGGCUUGAAUUACUAGGAAGUAACUAGAAUAUGUAGUGUAGCGGUGAAAUGCUUAGAGAUUACAUGGAAUACCAAUUGCGAAGGCAGGUUACUACUAGUGGAUUGACGCUGAUGGACGAAAGCGUGGGUAGCGAACAGGAUUAGAUACCCUAGU
rnacentral:rRNA from 1 species